AUGGUUUCCAUCAACCCGGAGUCAAAAUCAAGAGCUGUGAACAGGGAGGUACUCAGUGAGCUAAUCAAGUUGCACGGGAAGACAUCCCUUGGCGGCAAAUUGCCUGCCUAUGAUGGAAGAAAGAGUCUCUACACUGCAGGCUCACUCCCUUUUGAGUCUGAGGAGUUCUCUGUUACACUGGUUGAUCCCGAAAAGAAAGACAAAGAAAAGGCUGAAAGGGAGUACAAGAUCACCAUUAGGAUUGCUGGGAGGACAGACCUGUACCACCUCCAGCAGUUUCUCAAAGGAAGACAGAGGGAUAUGCCUCAAGAAACCAUCCAAGUUCUUGAUGUUGUCCUCAGGGAGUCACCAUCCUGGAACUAUGUCACAGUGUCCAGAUCCUUCUUCUCCACCACCUUUGGUCACAGAGGAGACAUUGGUGAAGGAUUAGAGUGCUGGAGAGGUUACUACCAGAGCUUACGCCCAACUCAGAUGGGGCUGUCACUCAAUAUAGACAUAUCUGCAACAUCCUUCUUCAAGCCUGUGACAGUGGUCCAGUUUGUGCUAGAGUUCCUCAACUUACGUGAUGCCUCGCGCCCUCUGACAGACAGGGACCGUAUUAAGAUAAAGAAAGCACUCCGUGGGGUGCGUGUCGAAACAAACCACCAGGAAGACCAAAUCAGAAGAUAUAAGAUAACAGGGAUUACUCCUGUUCCCAUGAGCCAGCUCAUAUUUCCUGUUGAUGAGAGAGGAACAAGAAUGUCAGUUGUUCAUUACUUCAUGCAAAGAUACAACUACAAUCUGCAGUAUACUUCUUGGCCCUGCUUGCAGUCUGGAAGCGAUGCUCGGCCUGUGUAUCUGCCUAUGGAGGCGUGCAAGAUUGUUGAAGGGCAAAGGUACUCUAAGAAACUGAAUGACAAGCAGGUCGCCAACAUACUUAGAGCUACCUGUCAACGUCCCCAGCAGAGGGAGCAAAGCAUUCGUGAGAUGGUUCUGCAUAACAAGUAUGCUGAGGACAAGUUUGCUCAGGAGUUUGGAAUCAAUGUCUGCAGUGACCUUGUCUCUGUUCCAGCCCGUGUGCUGCCUCCCCCCAUGUUGAGAUAUCAUGAUUCUGGAAAGGAGAAAACUUGUGCGCCAAGUGUUGGACAGUGGAACAUGAUUAACAAGAAAAUGAUCAAUGGAGGAAUCAUAGACAACUGGGCCUGUGUGAGUUUUUCACGCAUGCGUCCUGAGGAGGUACACAGGUUCUGUUGUGAUCUGAUUCAGAUGUGCAAUAUGACUGGAAUGUCUGUCAAUUCAAGGCCACUUGUAGACAACCGAUCAGCGAGCCCCAACCACAUUGAGAAUGCUUUGAGAGAUGUCUACAGGAGGACAACGGAAAUGCUUUCCAAGCAGGGACACGAAAAACAGCUACAACUGUUAAUUGUAAUCCUACCUGAAAUCAGUGGUUCUUAUGGGAAAAUCAAGAAGGUUUGCGAGACUGACCUUGGGAUUGUGUCUCAGUGUUACCUGCCAAGAUAUGCUGCCAGACCGAACAAGCAAUAUCUGGAGAAUGUUGCACUCAAAAUCAAUGUGAAGGUCGGACUGCCACCUUCCAUUGAGAAGGCCUUUGCUCGAUUUGGUGUUCCUGCUGUUACAAAAGUCCCAACAAUCAUCUUUGGUGCUGAUGUUACACACCCCCCACCUGGAGAGGACUCCACAUCAUCUAUUGCUGUGGUGGUGGCAUCAAUGGACUGGCCAGAGAUCACCAAGUACAGAGGUCUUGUCUCUGCUCAACCACACAGGCAGGAGAUAAUCGAAGACCUCUUCAGUGUCAGCAAAGAUCCGCAGAGGGGCAAUGUCAAUGGUGGCAUGAUCAGGGAGUUACUGAUUGCCUUCCGCUGGAAGACAGGCCGGAGGCCUGAGAGGAUACUCUUCUACAGGGAUAGUGUGAGUGAAGGCCAGUUGAGCACUGUACGUUUUCAUGAAAUGAAUGCAAUCAGGAAGGCCUGUGCUGCUUUGGAGGAGGGGUAUAUGCCCCAAAUUAUAUAUAUUGCUCUUGAUAAAUGA
rnacentral:rRNA from 1 species